rnacentral:rRNA from 1 species
UACGUAGGGACCGAGCGUUGUCCGGAAUCAUUGGGCGUAAAGAGCGUGUAGGCGGCUUGUUAAGUCUUGCGUGAAAUCUCGGGGCUCAACCCCGAGCGGUCGUGAGAAACUGGCAGGCUAGAGUGCGGGAGAGGAGAGUGGAAUUCCUGGUGUAGCGGUGAAAUGCGCAGAGAUCCGGAAGAACACCAGUGGCGAAGGCGGCCCGCUGGGCAGUGGCUGACGCUGAGGCGCGACAGCGUGGGGAGCAAACAGG